rnacentral:rRNA from 1 species
UACAGAGGGUGCAAACGUUGCUCGGAAUUAUUGGGCGUAAGGCGCGUGUAGGCGGCUUGUUAAGUUGGCUGUGAAAACCCAUGGCUCAACCAUGGAAGGGCGUCCAAAACUGGCAAGCUAGAGUCCUGACGAGGAUGGCGGAAUUCCCAGUGUAGAGGUGAAAUUCGUAGAUAUUGGGAGGAACACCGGUGGCGAAGGCGGCCAUCUGGGAAGGCACUGACGCUGAGACGCGAAAGCGUGGGGAGCAAACAGG